rnacentral:snoRNA from 1 species
AUUCCAUGAUGGAGACAUUCUAGGAUGUAGUCAUGGAAGCGCUCCCAUGCUUUUGGAAUGAAUUCUUUAUGUUGUUGUUGAAAACAUGUAAUCUUCCCAUGGAGACA